AGCCGUUCUCGGGGCGGGGUGAAAUUCCCCACCGGCGGUUAUAGUCCGCGAGCGCCCUUGCCGAUGUAAGGGGUCAGCAGAGCCGGUGAAAUUCCGGGACCGACGGUUAAAGUCCGGAUGGAAGAGGAUGGUC
rnacentral:ncRNA from 2 species